rnacentral:rRNA from 1 species
CCGGGUAACCCGGGGCGGACGCGGGCCUAGUGGCGGACGGGUGAGUAACGCGUGGGCAAUCUGCCCCGUACCGGGGGAUAACACCUGGAAACAGGUGCUAACACCGCAUGACAGGCGGGGGCGCAUGCCCCGGCCUUGAAAACUCCGGUGGUACGGGAUGAGCCCGCGUCCGAUUAGCCAGUUGGCGGGGUAACGGCCCACCAAAGCGACGAUCGGUAGCCGGCCUGAGAGGGUGGACGGCCACAUUGGGACUGAGACACGGCCCAAACUCCUACGGAAGGCAGCAG